GUCCACGCUGUAAACGAUGGGCACUAGGUGUCGCGGGUAUUGACCCCUGCGGUGCCGCAGCUAACGCAUUAAGUGCCCCGCCUGGGGACUACGGCCGCAAGGUUAAAACUCAAAGGAAUUGACGGGGGCCCGCACAAGCGGUGGAGCAUGUGGUUCAAUUCGACGCAACGCGAAGAACCUUACCCGGACUAGACAACAGAGGACAAUUCUAGAAAUAGAAUCUUCCCUUCGGGGACCUCUGGUUCAGGUGCUGCAUGGCUGUCGU
rnacentral:rRNA from 1 species